rnacentral:rRNA from 1 species
AUGGCUCAGUGAGGCCUUCGGACUGGCUCAGGGAGGUCGGCAACGACCACCCAGAGCCGGAAAGUUGGUCAAACUCGGUCAUUUAGAGGAAGUAAAAGUCGUAACAAGGUCUCCGUAGGUGAACCUGCGGAGGGAUCAUUA